rnacentral:rRNA from 1 species
AACGUAGGGGGCAAGCGUUACCCGGAUUCACUGGGCGUAAAGGGGGCGUAGGCGGCCGUGUAAGUCCGGUGUGAAAUGCCACGGCUCAACCGUGGAACUGCGCUGGAAACUACACGGCUUGAGGACGGUAGAGGGAGACGGAACUGCUGGUGUAGGGGUGAAAUCCGUAGAUAUCAGCAGGAACGCCGGUGGAGAAGUCGGUCUCCUGGGCCGUUCCUGACGCUGAGGCCCGAAAGCUAGGGGAGCAAACCGG